AUUGAACGCUGGCGGAAUGCUUUACACAUGCAAGUCGAACGGCAGCACGGACUUCGGUCUGGUGGCGAGUGGCGAACGGGUGAGUAAUAUAUCGGAACGUAUCCAAUAAUGGGGGAUAACUAGUCGAAAGAUUGGCUAAUACCGCAUACGCCCUACGGGGGAAAGCAGGGGAUCUUCGGACCUUGCGUUAAUGGAGCGGCCGAUAUCUGAUUAGCUAGUUGGUGGGGUAAAGGCCCACCAAGGCGACGAUCAGUAGCUGGUCUGAGAGGACGACCAGCCACACUGGAACUGAGACACGGUCCAGACUCCUACGGGAGGCAGCAGUGGGGAAUUUUGGACAAUGGGCGCAAGCCUGAUCCAGCCAUUCCGCGUGAGUGAAGAAGGCCUUCGGGUUGUAAAGCUCUUUCGCAAGGGAAGAAAACUUAGCCACUAACAUUGGCUGAGGUUGACGGUACCUUGAUAAGAAGCACCGGCUAACUACGUGCCAGCCGUCGCCGUAAAAC
rnacentral:rRNA from 1 species